rnacentral:piRNA from 1 species
UCCAUGAGGAAAGGACUCGCCUGUGC